GUGAAAUUACCGCGGUGUCAUAUUCACACGCUUGUCUGCAGGGUCUCAUCAAAGUUCAUUUUAAAUUCUGUCUGGAAAAUCAGAGAACAUUCAGAAUGAGUUUCCAGGUCUGUUUUUUAGACAGACGAACAGAGACUUAAAUAAAAGUGUCUUUGGCGAACUCUGAGGAGGAAUUCAGAAACACCACAGUUGAAGAGUUAAAAAGAAAACUCUUGUCUGAAGACAGCAGAUAUAAACACUGUGGACUUUACUGCAAUGACAGGCUUCUGUUUCAUGAUCGUACACUUGGCUCUCAUGGCAUUAAACACAAUGAUAUUACUGUGAUUAAACUACUGAUGCAUCCACAAUCUUUCUCAUCUGAAGAUGAAUGUGAAGGUGAAUUCAUAUCCAGGACUAAAUCUAUGGAGAAAUUUUGAACAUGUAAAUGCAUUUGAUGCACAGUGAAUUCAUAUAGGAAAUGUAAAACAUGUAUUAAUUAGUUCAGCGCAUCAUUAAUGAAACCACUUCACAUGAUCCACAGAGAAUAAUCAAUAAAUUCAUAUUGAGUGUUGAUCAGAUGAAGUGUAAUAUCAAUCUAAUUUUCUUAAUUCACUGUCAACUCAAUAUAAAACACAGUAGUAUAUGAUGGAGUUUGUGUUUUCAUGUGUCUCUGUAUGUUCAUAUGCAAAUAUUGUACAUUAUCCUUUCUUUUGUUUAUGUUUUUUAAAUCAAACAUGCCCUUGACUAUUUUUAUUUUGUGAAAAGUGUGAUUUCAGUAAUCAGCUUUAAAACCAUUAGUUAUUUCUUCAAUAUAAUUCAAAUAUAAUUAAUAUUCAGCAGACCUCUGCCAUAAUAUUUUCUAACCUUUUAGUUAAAGAUCCAGUGGUAUUUCAUAUUACAUUAUUUCUUAACGUUUCAUUGUAAUUGUAUGUGAAAUAAAGCAAUUCCCGAGAGAAAGUUUAUCAGUGUGUCCAAAAUUAGAAAUAGUGGGUCACAAUGAACAACUCACCCAUAGCAAAAGAAUUAUGUACUAACUGUCAGGGUCAGGGACUAUUCUGUGUUUUUCUUAGGUUUUCCCUUGUGUUUUCAUAUGCCCAUAUUUGGUUUUCCUGUUCCUGUUCCCAUUGUGUCCUCAUUAGGUUCAGGUGUGUUAGGUCUUUAGUCUCGUUUGGUUCUCUUUAUAAGUUGUAUUCCCUUGUUGUCUG